rnacentral:rRNA from 1 species
AGCUAAUAGAUACCCCGGUAGUCCACGCCCUAAACGAUGUCUACUGGUUGUUGGUGGAGUAAAAUCCAUGAGUAAACGCAGCUAAACGCGUGAAGUAGACCGCCUGGGGAGUACGGUCGCAAGAUUAAAAACUCAAAGGAAUUGACGGGGGCCCGCACAAGCGGUGGAUUAUGUGGAUUAAAUUCGAUGCAACGCGAAAAACCCUUACCUGGCCUUGACAUGCCACUAACGAAGCAGAGAUGCAUUAGGUGCCCGUAAGGGAAAGUGGACACAGGUGCUGCAUGGCUGUCGUCAGCUCGUGUCGUGAGAUGUUGGGUUAAGUCCCGCAACGAGCGCAACCCUUGCCAUUAAUUGCCAUCAUUUAGUUGGGCACUUUAAUAGGACUGCCGGUGACAAACCGGAGGAAGGUGGGGAUGACGUCAAGUCCUCAUGGCCCUUAUGGCCAGGGCUUCACACGUAAUACAAUGGUCGGUACAGAGAGUUGCCAACCCGCGAGGGGUAGCUAAUCUCAGAAAGCCGAUCGUAGUCCGGAUUGUUCUCUGC